rnacentral:rRNA from 1 species
GACGAACGCUGGCGGCAUGCCUAACACAUGCAAGUCGAGCGAGUAGAUCCCUUCGGGGUGAAGCUAGCGGCGGACGGGUGAGUAACACGUGGGCAACCUGCCUCAUAGAGGGGAAUAGCCUUCCGAAAGGAAGAUUAAUACCGCAUAAGCUUGUAGUACCGCAUGGUAUAGCAAUUAAAGGGGCAAUCCGCUAUGAGAUGGGCCCGCGGCGCAUUAGCUAGUUGGUGAGGUAACGGCUCACCAAGGCGACGAUGCGUAGCCGACCUGAGAGGGUGAUCGGCCACAUUGGGACUGAGACACGGCCCAGGCUCCUACGGGAGGCAGCAGUGGGGAAUAUUGCACAAUGGGGGAAACCCUGAUGCAGCAAUGCCGCGUGAGUGAUGACGGCCUUCGGGUUGUAAAGCUCUGUCUUCGGGGACGAUAAUGACGGUACCCGAGGAGGAAGCCACGGCUAACUACGUGCCAGCCGCCGCGGUAA